CCAGACUCCUACGGGAGGCAGCAGUAGGGAAUUUUCGGCAAUGGGGGGAACCCUGACCGAGCAACGCCGCGUGAACGAAGAAGUUAUUCGUAAUGUAAAGUUCUUUUAUCAGGGAAGAAAGAGGAAUUUGACGGUACCUGCAAAGGAAGCACCGGCUAACUCCGUGCCAGCAGCCGCGGUAAUACGGAGGGGGCGAGCGUUAAUCGGAAUUACUGGGCGUAAAGCGCUCGUAGGCGGUAUGUCAAGUCAAGGGUGAAAUCCCCGCGCUCAACGUUGGAACUGCCUUUGAAACCGGCAAACUGGAGUGUGUGAGAGGAUAGUGGAAUUCCUGGUGUAGGAGUGAAAUCCGUAGAUAUCUGGCGGAACAUCAGUGGCGAAGGCGACUAUCUGGCACAUAACUGACGCUGAGGAGCGAAAGUGUGGGUAGCAAACAGGAUUAGAUACCCCUGUAG
rnacentral:rRNA from 1 species